GAUGAAUGCUCUUAGGAAAAAAGUCCUUAAAAGUUGUAGAAUAGGUUGCAAACUGUUCAAGUGGUGCUGGCUUUGUCAUCCAGCCAGAUGCUAUCGAUUGGUCUGUAGCGCACAUUGGUUCUGUAAGUAAUUAGAAUAUAAAGCCAAAUGAUUUGGCAGCUGGAUUGAGCAUUUGUACUCAGUUUCCCUCCACUCAUGGCCUUAGACAGCCAUCUGACAUUUGUAAAAGUCAGGUGUUUCCUGUAAAAUAUGAACACUGCUGUGUCUCUUUUGGCAUGGUGGGUGCAAGUAUGUUAAUACCUGCAAAUAAUUGGGGUCCAUAGCAUGCCAUAGCUCCUAAGUGUAACCUGCAGUCACAUUGCUUUGAGACUUGCCGCUAUCUGAGCAGAAUAGCUUUUGUGAGGUCAACUUGGCUCUUGCUGACUUUCUCUGAGGGAUGCAUAUACUGCUUGUUUCUCACAAUUUACGGCUGAAUUAUACUUCACAACGGAUUUUUGAAGCAGCCCUGGAGGAGUGGUAACUUAUUUUAGAACUGUGGUUGUAGCCUGGAAAAUACAGUGCUGCCAAGAAAUACUGCAACGUUUAAUGGUCUGUCUGCUGACGGGUCAACCCAGGGUUGUCUAACUGUUUUGGUUGGUUUUUUUUAAGUAGCUUGCGAUACGUCUUUUGCUUCUACAGUAAUUUAACUAACAAUAAAAACUUGCAGAUAGAAAGCAGCAUCCUAAUCUUUUCUUGUAAAUGCAGGCUGGUUUAGCUUAAGACCAAAAAGUGUCCUGCUCCCUGUUGCACUCCCACACCCUGGCCUCACUAAGGAAGCCUUUGUAUUAAUUUACCAAAAGUAGUUUUGCUGAGGUGUCACUCCAUUGAUGUUUCUGCAUAGAAGUCCUGCAUUAGAAUCUGUAAACCAAUCACCUGAUACCUUACUGUGGCGCUGUAAACUCAGUUAGACAGUGAGUAGCAGUGACUCUUUGGUUUGAA